UGAUCUUCUUCUCUAUUAGUUUUCCCUUUCUAUUCUUCGUUCUUCCGAUUAUCAGGCCAAAACAAAAUCAAUCUGACCGUCAUUAAAUGAUGGUGUAAGAAAUGGAUGUUGGAGAGAUGAUUCCAGAGCAGCACCAUGAGGAUCUACACGUUAGAAAAAGGUUAGAGUUCAACACAAGAUAUCCUAACACUUCCUACCAAAGCUCCAAUCUCCAGAAUCCAGCCUAUAAAAGCUCCUCUCUCCAGGAGAACGGGACCAAGAUGGAAGGGGAAAAAGAGUGCAGAAGCUAAAGCUCUUGCUGAUCCUAUGUCAAGAAUAGUUGAACAGCUUCUCUGCGUAAAUCAGAAACACAAGGGGUUUCUGUCAAAUUCUGGUGUGCAUCUCUCAGUUGACCGUGAACAAAUUGAACUACUGGAUCGAUUCUGUUGGAAAAC